rnacentral:lncRNA from 1 species
UUCAUUAUGAUAUUUAUCAUCAAUUCAUCAUCAUGAUCACCAUUAUAUACACUAUCAUCAAUAUUUACACUUUUAAUGCACCAUCUACGUACAUUAUUGGCAUCCAUCAACUUCAUCUUCUGCAACCCUCUUGUUAUUCCUCACUAACUUAUUUAAUCAUCUUCGUUGUUUGCUUCCUCGCCUUCUUCAUUGUCUUCAACAUCUUCCCGCCAUCUACUCGCGUCUUUCUUCAAAGCAUGGAGUAGAAGAAGGGAUUGUGAACCUAAAAGAGACCCCAACAAAAAAAAAACCUUUCUAAAA